rnacentral:rRNA from 1 species
AUUGAACGCUGGCGGCAGGCCUAACACAUGCAAGUCGAGCGGAUGAAGGGAGCUUGCUCCUGGAUUCAGCGGCGGACGGGUGAGUAAUGCCUAGGAAUCUGCCUGGUAGUGGGGGAUAACGUCCGGAAACGGGCGCUAAUACCGCAUACGUCCUGAGGGAGAAAGUGGGGGAUCUUCGGACCUCACGCUAUCAGAUGAGCCUAGGUCGGAUUAGCUAGUUGGUGGGGUAAAGGCCUACCAAGGCGACGAUCCGUAACUGGUCUGAGAGGAUGAUCAGUCACACUGGAACUGAGACACGGUCCAAACUCCUACGGGAGGCAGCAGUGGGGAAUAUUGGACAAUGGGCGAAAGCCUGAGCCAGCCAUGCCGCGUGUGUGAAGAAGGUCUUCGGAUUGUAAAGCACUUUAAGUUGGGAGGAAGGGCAGUAAGUUAAUACCUUGCUGUUUUGACGUUACCAACAGAAUAAGCACCGGCUAACUUCGUG